rnacentral:lncRNA from 1 species
UAUGAUCUUUCGGUGUCUAUCUGCACUUUCUUUGACCUGCCAGACACCACGAUGCCAAAUGCGGGCUGCUCAUCAAAGACUCCAUUGAGAGCUGGUCGCUGUGUGGGGAAAGCAGCAGUGUUGGCUCCGAACCUGACCUGAGGAGGCAUGGCUACCGUCAGUUCUGUUGUGACAGCCCUUGACAGCAGGUGUCUGUCAUCUCCCCCAUUCUAUCCCCUCCAACCACCCCAACGUUUUUU